GAUGAACGCUGGCGGCGUGCCUAAUACAUGCAAGUCGAGCGAACGGACGAGAAGCUUGCUUCUCUGAUGUUAGCGGCGGACGGGUGAGUAACACGUGGAUAACCUACCUAUAAGACUGGGAUAACUUCGGGAAACCGGAGCUAAUACCGGAUAAUAUUUUGAACCGCAUGGUUCAAAAGUGAAAGACGGUCUUGCUGUCACUUAUAGAUGGAUCCGCGCUGCAUUAGCUAGUUGGUAAGGUAACGGCUUACCAAGGCAACGAUGCAUAGCCGACCUGAGAGGGUGAUCGGCCACACUGGAACUGAGACACGGUCCAGACUCCUACGGGAGGCAGCAGUAGGGAAUCUUCCGCAAUGAGCGAAAGCCUGACGGAGCAACGCCGCGUGAGUGAUGAAGGUCUUCGGAUCGUAAAACUCUGUUAUUAGGGAAGAACAUAUGUGUAAGUAACUGUGCACAUCUUGACGGUACCUAAUCAGAAAGCCACGGCUAACUACGUGCCAGCAGCCGCGGUAAUACGUAGGUGGCAAGCGUUAUCCGGAAUUAUUGGGCGUAAAGCGCGCGUAGGCGGUUUUUUAAGUCUGAUGUGAAAGCCCACGGCUCAACCGUGGAGGGUCAUUGGAAACUGGAAAACUUGAGUGCAGAAGAGGAAAGUGGAAUUCCAUGUGUAGCGGUGAAAUGCGCAGAGAUAUGGAGGAACACCAGUGGCGAAGGCGACUUUCUGGUCUGUAACUGACGCUGAUGUGCGAAAGCGUGGGGAUCAAACAGGAUUAGAUACCCUGGUAGUCCACGCCGUAAACGAUGAGUGCUAAGUGUUAGGGGGUUUCCGCCCCUUAGUGCUGCAGCUAACGCAUUAAGCACUCCGCCUGGGGAGUACGACCGCAAGGUUGAAACUCAAAGGAAUUGACGGGGACCCGCACAAGCGGUGGAGCAUGUGGUUUAAUUCGAAGCAACGCGAAGAACCUUACCAAAUCUUGACAUCCUUUGACAACUCUAGAGAUAGAGCUUUCCCCUUCGGGGGGCAAAGUGACAGGUGGUGCAUGGUUGUCGUCAGCUCGUGUCGUGAGAUGUUGGGUUAAGUCCCGCAACGAGCGCAACCCUUAAGCUUAGUUGCCAUCAUUAAGUUGGGCACUCUAAGUUGACUGCCGGUGACAAACCGGAGGAAGGUGGGGAUGACGUCAAAUCAUCAUGCCCCUUAUGAUUUGGGCUACACACGUGCUACAAUGGACAAUACAAAGGGCAGCGAAACCGCGAGGUCAAGCAAAUCCCAUAAAGUUGUUCUCAGUUCGGAUUGUAGUCUGCAACUCGACUACAUGAAGCUGGAAUCGCUAGUAAUCGUAGAUCAGCAUGCUACGGUGAAUACGUUCCCGGGUCU
rnacentral:rRNA from 1 species